CAGCAGCAGCCGCGGGAAUACAGAGGGUGCGAGCGUUAAUCGGAUUUACUGGGCGUAAAGCGUGCGUAGGCGGCUUCUUAAGUCGGAUGUGAAAUCCCUGAGCUUAACUUAGGAAUUGCAUUCGAUACUGGGAAGCUAGAGUAUGGGAGAGGAUGGUAGAAUUCCAGGUGUAGCGGUGAAAUGCGUAGAGAUCUGGAGGAAUACCGAUGGCGAAGGCAGCCAUCUGGCCUAAUACUGACGCUGAGGUACGAAAGCAUGGGGAGCAAACAGGAUUAGAUACCCGGGUAGUCCCUGUCUCUUAUAA
rnacentral:rRNA from 1 species